rnacentral:misc_RNA from 1 species
UGCCCUCAAGCACGGCUUGUGUGUUGGGCCCCGUCCUCCGAUCCCGGGGGGACGGCCCGAAAGGCAGCGGCGGCACCGAGUCCGGUCCUCGAGCGUAUGGGGCUUUGUCACCCGCUCUGUAGGCCCGGCCGGCGCUUGCCGAUCAACCAAAUUUUUUCCAGGUUGACCUCGGAUCAGGUAGGGAUACCCGCUGAACUUAA